rnacentral:rRNA from 1 species
CAAAAACAUGUCCUUUUGUUAUUUAUAUAAGGUUUAACCUGCUCAAUGAUUAUUUUAAAUGGCCGCGGUAUUUUAACUGUGCUAAGGUAGCAUAAUAAAUUGUCUUUUAAUUGGGGGCUGGAAUGAAUGGUUGGACGAAAUAUGAACUUUCUUUGGUUUAUUUUAAGAAUUUAAUUUUUUAGUUAAAAAGCUAAAAUUAUUUUAUUGGACGAGAAGACCCUAUAGAUCUUUAUAUGUAUAUUGUAUUAUUUUUUUUGGUUGUUAUUAUAUUUAAUGUUUUUGCGUAUUUUGUUGGGGUGACAUUGGAAUUUUUUUAACUUCCAUUUUAUAUUAUCAUUAAUUAAUGUUUUUUUGAUCCAUUUAUAGUGAUUGUAAGAUUAAGUUACCUUAGGGAUAACAGCGUAAUUUCUUCGGAGAGCCCUAAUCGAUGAUGGAGUUUGCGACCUCGAUGUUGGAUUAAAAUAAGUGAUGGGCGUAAAAGUUUAUUUACUAGGUCUGUUCGACCUUUAAUUUUUUACAUGAUCUGAG